AGCGAACGCUGGCGGCAGGCCUAACACAUGCAAGUCGAACGAACUCUUCGGAGUUAGUGGCGGACGGGUGAGUAACACGUGGGAACGUGCCCUUUGGUACGGAAUAACUCAGGGAAACUUGAGCUAAUACCGUAUGUGCCCUUCGGGGGAAAGAUUUAUCGCCAUUGGAGCGGCCCGCGUCUGAUUAGCUAGUUGGUGAGGUAACGGCUCACCAAGGCGACGAUCAGUAGCUGGUCUGAGAGGAUGACCAGCCACAUUGGGACUGAGACACGGCCCUAACUCCUACGGGAGGCAGCAGUGGGGAAUCUUGCGCAAUGGGCGAAAGCCUGACGCAGCCAUGCCGCGUGGAUGAUGAAGGUCUUAGGAUUGUAAAAUCCUUUCACCGGUGAAGAUAAUGACUGUAGCCGGAGAAGAAGCCCCGGCUAACUUCGUGCCAGCCGCCGCGGUAACAC
rnacentral:rRNA from 1 species